GACGAGGGGUCCUAGCGUUGUUCGGAAUCACUGGGCGUAAAGCGUAUGUAGGCGGGCUUUUAAGUCAGGUGUGAAAUCCCAUGGCUCAACCAUGGAAUUGCAUUUGAAACUGGAAGUCUUGAGUGUGGGAGAGAUUGGUAGAAUACCUGGUGUAGUGGUGAAAUAUGUAGAUAUCAGGUGGAAUACCGGUGGCGAAGGCGGCCAAUUGGCCCAACACUGACGCUGAGAUACGAAAGCGUGGGGAUCAAACAGG
rnacentral:rRNA from 1 species